rnacentral:rRNA from 1 species
UCAGACGAUGCGUCAUGCAUAUCAAUAAGCGGAGGAAAAGAAACUAACAAGGAUUCCCUCAGUAACGGCGAGUGAAGCGGGAAGAGCUCAAAUUUGAAAUCUUGAAAGGUCACCUUUCACGAAUUGUAGUUUAAAGAAGUGUUUUCUGUUACGAUCGUAAUAUAAGUUCUUUGGAAUAGGACAUCACAGAGGGUGAGAAUCCCGUCUAUGAUUGCGAUUUGUAGCUUUGUGAUACACUUUCAAAGAGUCGGGUUGUUUGGGAAUGCAGCCCAAAACGGGAGGUAAAUUUCAUCUAAGGCUAAAUAUUGGCGAGAGAGCCGAUAGCGAACAAGUACCGUGAGGGAAAGAUGAAAAGAACUUUGAAAAGAGAGUUAAAUAGUACGUGAAAUUGUCAAAAGGGAAGCGUUUAACACCAGUGUUGUUUUCUGAAAAUCAACCUCUGUUAGCUUUAUGCAUGUUUGUUUAGACCUAAUCAGCUAUCUUGCAUGUUCUAUUGUUUGCAGUGGUGCACUUUUCAGUUUACAGGUCAACAUCAGUUUUUUUUACCGUAAAAAAGUUAAAGAAAGGUAGCUCAUGGCUCCGGUCGUGAGUGUUAUAGUCUUUUUCCUAUGCGGUAGGAGAGACUGAGGUCUGCAGUGUAGGCUAUUUGGCUAGAUACUCAGGUGCUAUGUGAUACCAUUUCAUAAACAACUUGUUGAUUAUGUUUUGUCUAUUGCAUACUCGCUUGUACUAUCAUACCUACGCUUAGGAUGUUGAAGACUCUACAGAGAU